CGGCAAGAGCUCAAAUUUGAAAUCUGGCUCCCUAUGGGGGUCCGAAUUGUAAUUUGGAGAGGAUGCUUCGGGUGUGGCCGCGGUUUAAGUGCCUUGGAACAGGACGUCAUAGAGGGUGAGAAUCCCGUCUUUGGCCGCCGGUCCGCAUCCGUGUGAAGCUCCUUCGAC
rnacentral:rRNA from 1 species